CUUCUCCACCCCUUCCAUCCUGCCACAGUCCACCUUCUUCUCCUGCAGAUUUGUUUGCUUCAGCAACCACUCACCUCAUCAUGUUCAUCAUUCAACAACAAAAAGAUUCAGCAACCCGAAACCAUUUAUCUCAAAAGUAGGCAACUUUGAGCACUAAGAUACAGAUACAACACCAUAUAUUUUUCUCCAAAGAUUCAAGUUUUACAAACAAAACCAAAUGUAAAUCUCAGCAAGCAACAACAUUUGAAUUUAACAAUAAAUGAUCAAAGAACCCACGCACUGAGAACAACCUUGAAAACCCCAGAAGCAACCCCAGAUCCAACAUUCCCAGAAGCUUGACGCCAUGGUUGCACUCAGAACAACCUUGAAAACUCCAGAUUGAAGAAAAAACCCAGAUGCGUUCAAGCUUUCACCUUUUUUCCUGCCAUUUCGUGUUCUUUUUCUAUGAAAUCACUGUGGGAUCUAGGGGUUUUUGAACUGUGAGAAAAAAUAAGAUCUGGUUCGAUCUGAACCUCUGAAACUCAUACCCAGAUCUGGCGGUACGGUGGAGUUCGAAGGAGAUGGUGGCGCCGCGCGAUUUAAUGGAAGAAGGAGAUGGAGGUCGAUUCGCGGAUGGGGCCGGAAAAGGAAAAGGUAAUCGUGGCGGCGGCGGCCAUGGAUGAAGGGCGGCGGCGAGGGCUAGGUGAGGGAGAUGCAUGGUGGGUGCCAGAUCCAUUGUUGCAAGAGAUGAAGGUGAUAAUCUUGUGGUAGUUGAUAAUGAGAAGGAGGAGAAUAGAUUGUUGAAGAUGUUUGAUUUGUUCACUAUUUGUUGUCAGGAGAAGAGCAGAGUCAGAAGCCAUAGGUGUGGUUUAUUUCGUCAGCUUAUGGUUUCCCUAUCAGUUGAGUAAAAGAGGGCUGGUAUUCAUUGUGGUUCAGCAGGGUGUCAAAAUUGAGGCUUAUAUUAAGAAGAACUACCUCAGUAAGUUCAGGGGUGAAUUUUCAGAGGGCAAUGUCUACAAGAUAACUUAUUUUGGUGUCUACAGACUGUCCAAGGGGUUGGGUAAGCUGGAGUUUUGGGAUAUCUACGGCUAUCCCUGGGCAGUGAUUUAUUUAUGCACUACUUUUGAAUCAAUUUUUGUGCAGCUCCUACACGUUUAAACAAAAACAUGCACUUUGGUUGCUGCAAGUGAUGUUCUGCUAGAUUCCCCAGUUAUGAAGUACAACCCCAUGGAUUGAACUUCAUAGAGGUGAAGGCCCUUGGAGCAGUUUGAUUUCUUCUUUGUGUAUAGAAUGUUUCUUAGAUCCAGUUCCUGUUGGCCUUCCUAACAUUCUUAUCACAGUUUCAAGUCAUGCUAAGAUGAAAACCAAGCUAAGGUGUCCUCAGCUUGAAAUGAUCAAUGCAACCGUCCAAUAUUGCUGCUCAAAAGAAGUCCAACCCUGCAAGAGAUACUGUGGGAUGACUUUGGUACGAUGGAACUAACACAUGGAAACAACUCAAAAGCGAUCCCCAUUUCACGGCUCCUUUUGUUUUCGCAGUCUAGAUCAUUGGAUGUGAAAGAAAAUAUUUGCAUUAUAAAAUGUAGCCCUGAAUCACACCUCAAGCUCUUAAAGUACUAAAAAUUCAAAUUUGACAUUAUUUUUUUAUUACUGUAGUCCUUUCCUAAUGAUGCAUUGAUGAACAGGGAAGAGUAUCUAUGUCCUAAUAGUAAAAUUGGUUAUUGUUAUUAUGUAUUUUUAAUUUGAAAUAAAAAAGCUGCUCCUCA